GUCCUUACGGGCUGGGUAGGCACCAUGAUCAUGAAGGUGCUUUUCCCAGGGCAAGGCGGAUUCGUUGCACCCCGUGUGUGCUGACUUCUGUGAUUGCCCCAAAUGUGACAAACUCGACAGUACAAUUUGUGGCAGUGAGGGGACUGCAUUUGCACUUUCCCCUG